rnacentral:rRNA from 1 species
UACGUAGGGGGCUAGCGUUGUCCGGAAUCAUUGGGCGUAAAGAGCGUGUAGGCGGUCCGGUAAGUCCGCUGUGAAAGUCGGGGGCUCAACCCUUGAAUGCCGGCCGAUACUGUGAGGCUAGAGUCCGGAAGAGGCGAGUGGAAUUCCUGGUGUAGCGGUGAAAUGCGCAGAUAUCAGGAGGAACACCGAUGGCGAAGGCAGCUCGCUGGGACGGUACUGGACGCUGAGACGCGAAAGCGUGGGGAGCGAACAGG